rnacentral:rRNA from 1 species
CCUACGGGAGGCAGCAGUGGGGAAUAUUGCACAAUGGGCGAAAGCCUGAUGCAGCAACGCCGCGUGAGUGAUGAAGGCCUUCGGGUUGUAAAGCUCUGUCUUUUGGGACGAUAAUGACGGUACCAAAGGAGGAAGCCACGGCUAACUACGUGCCAGCAGCCGCGGUAAUACGUAGGUGGCAAGCGUUGUCCGGAUUUACUGGGCGUAAAGGAUGCGUAGGCGGAUUUUUAAGUCAGAUGUGAAAACCCCGGGCUCAACUUGGGGACUGCAUUUGAAACUGGAAAUCUAGAGUGCGGGAGAGGAAAGUGGAAUUCCUAGUGUAGCGGUGAAAUGCGUAGAGAUUAGGAAGAACACCAGUGGCGAAGGCGACUUUCUGGACCGUAACUGACGCUGAGGCAUGAAAGCGUGGGUAGCAAACAGGAUUAGAUACCCUGGUAGUCCACGCCGUAAACGAUGAGUACUAGGUGUAGGAGGUAUCGACCCCUUCUGUGCCGCAGUUAACACAAUAAGUACUCCGCCUGGGAAGUACGAUCGCAAGAUUAAAACUCAAAGGAAUUGACGGGGGCCCGCACAAGCAGCGGAGCAUGUGGUUUAAUUCGAAGCAACGCGAAGAACCUUAC